AUUGAACGCUGGCGGCAGGCUUAACACAUGCAAGUCGAGCGAGCGGCGGACGGGUGAGUAAUGUCUGGGAAACUGCCUGAUGGAGGGGGAUAACUACUGGAAACGGUAGCUAAUACCGCAUACCAUCAGAUGUGCCCAGAUGGGAUUAGCUAGUUGGUGAGGUAAUGGCUCACCAAGGCGACGAUCCCUAGCUGGUCUGAGAGGAUGAUCAGCCACACUGGGACUGAGACACGGCCCAGACUCCUACGGGAGGCAGCAGUGGGGAAGAUUGCACAAUGGGCGCAAGCCUGAUACAGCCAUGCCGCGUGUAUGAAGAAGGCCCUAGGGUUGUAAAGUUCUUUCGGUAGCGAGGCGUUAACUACAGAAGAAGCACCGGCUAACUCCGUGCCAGCCGCCGCGGUAAUAC
rnacentral:rRNA from 1 species